rnacentral:misc_RNA from 1 species
GAAAUGCGAUAAGUAAUGUGAAUUGCAGAAUUCAGUGAAUCAUUGAAUCUUUGAACGCACAUUGCGCCCCCUGGUAUUCCGGGGGGCAUGCCUGUUCGAGCGUCAUUUCACCACUCAAGCCUCGCUUGGUAUUGGGCAACGCGGUCCGCCGCGUGCCUCAAAUCGACCGGCUGGGUCUUCUGUCCCCUAAGCGUUGUGGAAACUAUUCGCUAAAGGGUGUUCGGGAGGCUACGCCGUAAAACAACCCCAUUUCUAAGGUUGACCUCGGAUCAGGUAGGGAUACCCGCUGAACUUAAGC